CCUACGGGGGGCAGCAGUCGAGAAUCAUUCACAAUGGGGGAAACCCUGAUGGUGCGACGCCGCGUGGGGGAAUGAAGGUCUUCGGAUGGUAAACCCCUGUCAUGUGGGAGCAAAUUAAAAAGAUAGUACCACAAGAGGAAGAGACGGCUAACUCUGUGCCAGCAGCCGCGGUAAUACAGAGGUCUCAAGCGUUGUUCGGAAUCACUGGGCGUAAAGCGUGCGUAGGCUGUUUCGUAAGUCGUGUGUGAAAGGCGCGGGCUCAACCCGCGGACGGCACAUGAUACUGCGAGACUAGAGUAAUGGAGGGGGAACCGGAAUUCUCGGUGUAGCAGUGAAAUGCGUAGAUAUCGAGAGGAACACUCGUGGCGAAGGCGGGUUCCUGGACAUUAACUGACGCUGAGGCACGAAGGCCAGGGGAGCGAAAGGGAUUAGAUACCCUAGUAGUC
rnacentral:rRNA from 1 species